UAUUAUGCAAAGUAGAAUGUA
rnacentral:miRNA from 1 species